rnacentral:lncRNA from 1 species
UUUUUUUUUUUUUUUUUUUUUGUGAAGGAUUAAAAUUAGAAAACAAAAAAUGCAAACUUCUCGCUGGUUCUUCCUGUCAAAGUUUCAAACGGAUGUUAUUUUGGGAAUGUAUUUCAAGACCAUCCUAUUUUUCGCUACCCUUAAUUCCAUUACUGGUGGAGCAUUGCUAUAGUGCCUCCUCUGCUGGCAAAACGAUUCAUGACCCAAGAAUUGAACAGCCUGAUUCUAAAGACAGUCGAGUUUUAAUUGUUAGAUUAUUACUACUAGCUCAUAGGCGCUCGUUUCGAAAGAAUUCUUGCUGGCGCUGGCAAUGAGCCACACGAGGAGGAAUUCUUUCGUUUAAUAUUCUUUCAUUUGACCUUCGCAACAAAUAUUCAAGUCAUGGCGGAAGAUCUCGAAAUGCAGGGUAGCGAUGCCGGCAACAACAGGGACUCUGAAGGGCCAAAUGAAACGAGUACCAAGGGUUCCUUCCAUGGGGACCUGAUUCUCGCAAAGAAAUAUCAGCCUUCGCUGCGUCGGCGAAAAGUAAUUAAUUUGUUUCAAUUGUUGAUCAUCAUAAAAUCUGUUGGACUAGUGACAGCCAUCUUGUAUUUUAUGAUCACAGAACGCAACGAUGGGAGAGUCCUUCUAAUUUCCAUCGAUCCCACAGAUGAAUUUAUGGUUACUAAUUCAGACAAAAUGCUGGUGUUUGACGUCUCAGGAAUACACGUUGGUGCAAACAUUGUUGUUGGCGUAUCAGUCUCUUGGAGUCGUGUACGGAGACAUUGGCACUUCACCUCUCUACGUGUUGUCAUCUGUUCGGCUCGACAAACCUACGGAAGAAGACAUGAUCGGAAUCCUCAGUCUCGUCUUUUGGACCUUGACCAUAAUCCCGUUGAUCAAAUACGUCUUCAUUGUCCUUCGGGCUGAUGAUCAUGGCGAAGGUGGAACUUUUGCUCUGUAUUCUUAUCUGUGCAGGCAUAUAAACUUCCGAAGCAAACUGACCAUCCAAAGCACAAGAUUAGAAUCUGAUGCAACCAUGAGUUUUUACACCCAAGGGAGUGCAAUACAGUCUAAGACCAAACAAUUCAUUGAAAACAGUCGCGCAGCACAGAAUCUCCUCACGUUCGUUGUACUUUUGGGUACCUCGAUGGUGAUCGGUGAUGGCGCCUUGACACCGGCCACCAGUGGUAAGCAAUCGAUCAUAAACCCAACAUUCGUAGUAAUGAAUGAUAAUACUCGAAUCAUUAACGGUUGAAAUUCUCUUUCAUUAACGGUAUGUUUCUAUGGCACUUAAAACAUUCCUUCCACGACUAAUAAUCUUUCCGUACAGUUCUUUCGGCUCUUGCGGGAAUUCAAACACUUUCCUCAAAGAUAACAACAGGUACAUUUUUGUUCAUCUGCAUAUCAUGGUAUUUGAUUAAUAAUGAAACUACCAAAAUUAUACAAAUGAGUGAUGUUUGGUCAGGGUAUGUUGUGUUCAUGGCGGUUGUGAUACUGUUGGCUCUAUUCCUUUUCCAGUCAUGUGGGACGAGCAAAGUCGGGUUCUCAUUCUCCCCGAUCAUGUUUUUGUGGUUUGCUGCGAAUGUUUUCAUUGGCAUUUACAAUAUUGUCGCCUAUAAUCCUGCUGUCCUCCGUGGUUUAUCACCUCACUACAUUUUCAAGUUCUUUGGAAAACAAGGCAAAUCUGGCUGGGAGGUUUUAGGCGCCGUUUUCUUGUGCACAACAGGAGGAGAAGCCAUGUUUGCUGAUUUGGGCCACUUUAAUAAGAGAGCCAUUCAGGUGUUUGCCAUUACAAAGUUUAAAUGCUCAAUACUCUGCAUCGAGCAGCCCAUAACAAAUGUUUGCAAGUUUAGUUAACCAAUCACAAUACUGCUUUUGCAGCUGGCUUUCUCCUUCUUUGUCUAUCCAUCUCUGGUGCUGUGUUAUGCUGGUGAGGUAGCUUUCUUGUCUAAGCAUCCCGAUGCCCUGACCAACGCUUUCUACAGCUCCAUUCCUAAGACAGUUUACUGGCCGAUGUUCGUGUUAGCAACCUUGGCCGCAACAAUUGCCAGCCAAUCUAUGAUAUCGGCCUCAUUUUCUAUUGUUAAGCAAUCUUUGGCUUUAGGUUGCUUCCCCCGGGUUAACAUAAAGCAGACAUCCCCCAAACAUGCGGGGCAAAUUUACUCCCCAGAAAUCAACUACAUCCUGAUGAUCAUUUGUAUUGCUCUCGUAUUGAGAUUCAAACAAGGGGUUGAGAUAGGAAACGCAUAUGGUAAUUAAACCGCCUUUUUCAGCUAUAUGAAGUUCGACUCGAGUGAAUAUUGGUAUAUAUGUUGGAUAUUAAUCAAUCUUGGCCUAAUCAACUGCAGGUGUGGCUGUCAUAUGGGUGAUGAUAAUAACUACAUGUUUGGUGACGCUGGUGAUGUUGGUCAUUUGGGAUACAAAGUUUCCUCUGAUCCUUGCAUUUUUCAUUCCAUUCAUAUUCAUCGAGGGCGCAUUCAUGACUUCCUUGCUCAACAAAAUCCCUCAAGGUGGAUGGGUGCCAUUUGCAAUCUCCGGUUUCUUCCUGGUGAUCAUGCUGUCGUGGACUAGCGGGAGGAGCAAAAAGACCUCAUUUGAUGCAGAAAGGAAGCUGAGUCUAACGGAAUUCACGAGCGUGCUGUCGAGUAAUGAUCUCUAUCGUCCCCCUGGUAUUUGUCUCUUCUGUACCGACCUUGUCAAUGGGAUUCCGCCCAUCGUUCGCCAUUAUAUUCAGAGCACAAACUCUCUUCGUGAAAUUACCGUGAUCAUCACAAUAAGGACCCUACCAAUCAAAACAGUCCUUGCAGAGGAGCGUCUUGACGUGGGAAGAUUGGGAAUAGAUGGGGUAUACAGGUGUUUGAUUCAGUUCGGUUACAAGGAUUUGCAGAGCUUGGAAGAAGAUGACAUUGUUGCUUCCAUUGUGGCAAAACUCCGCGACACAGCUGAAACGGAGGAAGAGGCAGAAAAGCUUGGAAAAGCUAUGAAGAAAGGCGUGGUGUUCGUGGCUGGUCGGACUAUUCUCAAAUCGAAGGAGAGCAAUGGAUGGCUUUCUCAUUUGGUGAUAGAUUACUUGUACAGAUUCCUGCAGAAGAACUGCAGAUCAGCACUCACUUCACUUAAAAUCCCUCCUGGAAAGUUUUUACAAGUUGGGAUGCACUAUGAAAUUUAAGACCACCUGCGCGAUCCGUCAGCUUCACUCUAUGAUUCUAUCUAAUUAAUUUUGUUCGAUGUCCUUCAUGGCAGCACUAAUAAUGUAAGUUUCGAACUUUGUCUGCUGUAAAAUUAAGCACAGUCCUACGGUCCCAAGUCUUUGAACAAUGAGUGAGAACGAGGAAAGAUGGUAAAGCGUAUUGAACGAGUAUUAGAUGGAUACUCUCCUAAUGCAUCACAAUUAGCAUAGUGGUUCUUUGUUUUUAAAAAAUUCAUGGAGUGCAAUAAUAUAGGUUAAUGUAGUAGUAGUAGGGUAGAUUUUUGUUGUUGCCAAAAAAAAGUAAAAAAAAAAAGAGCAUUAGAUUAAUACCUUUGGUGACGUAGUAUUUUAUAGGCAAUUUCCCUUUAAUAUUACCACUUCCAUCAUCAAGCUUAACUUAUGCGAGCUUGGAACUUUUUUCCUAAAAAAAAAAAAAAUUAUUUUUAAUUCUGUUCCAAAAGAGUGAGGGUGCAUUUGAUAAAACUGAAAUCUAAAAUCUGAAACACGAGCUCAUCGAAAACAAACAGGCAUGCGUACGUAGAAGUUAAAAUUUUGAAACUAAAGGCUAUUCGAAUUUUCACGGCUUCAAUAGGAUUUUACAUCUUAGAUACAUACCACUGCAUGAAAAUUCUCGCCUGCUGCAUCAAUUAAUGGCUGCCAAUCACUUCGAGAGUUUAAAUAAUUAUUCUUGUUUCUGACCGUAGGUGGACGUGGAGCCAUGAAGCUUAGCGUUAAAAAAUGACCCAAUUAAUGUACUAAUCACUCGGACAGUUUAAUUAUCUUUCUUGUCUCAGUCCGUAGGUGGAACCAUGAAUCUUAGCGUUAAAAAUGACCCAAAUAAAUUACUCCCUCCGUCCCACUUUGAUAGUCUUGUUUCUUUUUUCACACAGUUUAAGAAAAAGUAGUUAACUUUGUUGGAAAAGUAAAUUUAGAUUGCUAUUUUUCUAAAAUACCCUCACAUUAAAUAUGGUACAACUUUAUGGGAACUUGAAUUGAUGGUAAAAAAAGAAUCAAUUCUCAUUAAAUGGGGUAGGUUUAUAGUAACAACUACUUACAUUGAAUAAGGGUAUUUUAGGAAAAUUAAAAUACAACUACAUUCUUAAAUUGGAGAGUGGACUACAAUUUGGGACAGAUGAAAAAGGAAUACAGGACUAUCAAAGUGGGACGGAGGGAGUAUUAGCUUUUUAGAACAAAGUAGUAGUACUUGCCGACAAAAGAGCGACCCUUAGUGGGCAUGGUGGAGCAUGCAUUUCCAUCCGUACCCGUUUAAACAUCCACACCCACCUCACUUAAUUGGUUUUGGAUUACUAAAAAAAUUUAGAUGGACGUUAAUGGACAUCCAAGUAAAAUCAAUUGGUUUGACGUUUUUAAGUGGAUGAUCAUCCACAUAAUCCAUCUAAAUCCAUUUUAAAAAGUAAUGAGCAAGCCCAGCACGUUUUGGCAGUACUAAUGAUAAUGUUUCUUAUAUGCUAACACUUUUUAUGAUGUGAUGUAUGUGAGAUAAAACGGUGAUUGAGAAUAUAAAAAGGUGAAUUGAAAAAUGUGUUUAUAAUGCAAGCGAAAAAUUUGCUAUCCAAACAUAGCCACAGUUGCACUCCCAGUCCAAGACGUUGUUCAGCUCUUCCCACUCACGCGAUCAAAGUUUUUUUUUUUUUUUUUUUCUCUCAAUCCAAUUUAGUUAUCAUCAGAACUCAUCCUAUUAACUUAGGAGUGUCAUUUUAAUCUACCUAUUAGUUAAAGAAAUUAACUUUGUGUUAGUCAAAUAGAUCUUGACUUUGUGUUAGUUAAAUAGAUUUUAAAUAAAAAAUUGAGUAUACAUCAUUCAUUUGGAUCCAAUCCACAUAUAACCCACUUAUUAUAUGGAUUUAAAUCGAUUUGAUUAUUUAAUCUAUGAUCCAUUUAUAUAAAACAAAUUAUGAUCCAAAUAUCCAUUUUUACACCUCUACCUAAUAUUACUUGAAUUCGAGGCUUAUAAUCAACAAGCUCUCGACUCUUUUUUUUUUGGGUAUUUUUUUUCCUUCUUUUUUUGGUUUUUUGGGGGGGGGGGGGGGGAGUUCAUAACAAUCAUGUACGUAAUUUGAUUUCGCUAUUCUUGAUACGUAUAAGCCUCUUAAACAGCAAUCAUUCGUUGAAUUUUUAUUUUUUAAUGUGGGCUCUGUUGUGGAGGCAAUGCUUUUAAAUUGAUUCCUGCACAUUCUGUAUUUCAUUCACAUGGUACCAAAGCCAACUUCGAAGUUCGAUUGCAAAUUCCAAAGCACUCACUAUAGCCAAUUGUCACGUUGGAUCAGAUUCAGGCCGCUCUACAAAAUAAUAACAAGCAUGGAAGGCAAAGUUGCUAACAGCUCCGUGCUAGAAGACGAUCUUGAAAAUGGUGGCACUGGAGAGGACACGGUCGGUUUUCGCCCAGCUGGUGCUGGAAACAUUAUUGAACUAUCAUCUGCCGUGGACAGAACCCUGAGCUUUAGUCGAGUUUUCAAGUCUUCCCCAACGCCAAACGAGCCCAAGGUCUAUAUAUACCAUAUAUGCUUGGUCGAUUGCCAUUUCUCAUCUUAGGUUAUUCAGUCACAUAUAUAUGUUGCCUUGCUUCAGUCCAUAGAUUAAACACACGACCGGCAUGUACACUCAACUCUAAACUAAGUAUCAGGCAACUUUUUUAACACCUAAACACAAUUUUUUUAACAAUCAUAUGAUGUGAUCAGGAAUAUCCAGCGGCGCAGACAUUGUUGUUGGCUUACCAAUCACUUGGAGUUGUGUAUGGAGACCUUGCUACCUCUCCUGUCAACGUGUUUUCCGCUACAAACUUGACAAACGUUACUGCAGAAGAUCUACUGGGGACCUUCAGCCUUAUGUUUUGGAGUUUGACUAUCAUAGUUUGGAUCAAAUAUGUUUUCAUCGUCAUUCAUGCCGAUGAUCAUGGUGAAGGAGGUACUUUCGCUUUAUAUUCCUAUCUCCGUCGACAUAUAAAUUUCCGGACCAAGUUUACAAUUCAAAAUACAAGGUUGAGCACUGAUGAAAGCAUGAGGUUUUCUAACCGCCCCAGCCCCCUACGUUCCAAGACCAAGGAAUUCAUAGAGAGAAGUAUCAGAGCUCAGAAUUUUAUUAUUGUAAUUGUUUUGCUUGGAACUUGCAUGGUCAUUGGGGAUGGAGCACUGACUCCAGCCACUAGCGGUAAUUUCUGCCUCCGAACCAUUCGAAGGAACAAACACAUAUCUUGACAGUCGGGGUUUCAUAACAAUCUCUUGCAAAACAAAAUGUAUUGUUGCUCCGUAAGAAAUUCAUAGCAGUAUUUGAAAUGCUCCUCGUGCGACUUUUAAACUAACAAUAAACAGCAUCUCGGGUCCAAAAGCUCUUUAAAAUCAGGGUUUAUUAUUUCUUUUAUUUUUUUUUCAAGCUCUUUUUUCCCCUUUUUAUGGGCAGUACUAUCAGCGGUUCAAGGUGUCCAAUCCCUCUCUCCAAAGAUUACCCAAGGUACGUACUUCUUGAUUGAAGUUUAUCUUCUUGAGAGUAAAGCAGUCCCAGGAUACUCACAGCAACUACAGAAUUUUCCCUUUUUUGACUGCCGCAGACCAUGUUGUGUUCACGUCCGUUGCUGUUCUGAUACCACUCUUCCUCUUCCAACGCUGCGGAACAAGCAAAGUCAGCUUCACCUUCUCUCCAAUCAUGCUACUCUGGCUGGCUACCAAUGCUUCCAUCGGAAUUUACAACAUUUUCAAAUAUUAUCCGUCCAUUCUCAAGGCUGUGUCCCCUCACUACAUAGUGCUGUUCAGUUCAAGAAAUGCCAAAACUUUAUGGAAUCUUCUUGGUGCUGUAUUCUUGGGCAUAACAGGUACUGUCCUAGAAUUUUCUGGAAAAGUUUUAAGGAUUUUCUACUUCCGAAUUUAAUGAAUUUGAAAGCAAAAAACUCUGAAAUGGAUCUGCCAGUAAAGCUUCACUUGAACUACAAAAGGUUCACUUGAAUUUCAUAUAUUGAUUGGGACAGGAGCCGAGGCCAUGUUUGCUGAUCUGGGUCACUUCAACAAGCAAGCAAUUCAGGUGAGGAAUCACAAAACCAUCUAUGAUUGCAUUUACGUUGGAAAGGGAAAAUACAAAAUAGACGUGUUUACUCGUGAACCCAAAGAAUACAUAUAUGCAUAUUGCGUCACAGGCAUAUUUAGAUUUAAUAAAAAAUUAGAACGCUGUACAAAUUAAUGCACGAUCAUACUACUAUUUUUAUUGUAUAUUUUUGUGAUGAGUGAAUAUUUUGGUAAGUAUUUAUUCGUCUAAUUUCUGGCUAUCAUGGUUAUUUGGCUACUUGAUGGCAAGGCAACUUAGCUCAUUCGUUGUUUUGUGCAGUGGGCUUUCUCAUUCGUUGUUUAUCCAGCAUUAAUCAUCACCUACGCUGGUGAAACGGCUUACCUAAUCAAGUAUCCAGAGAAAAUCAAUAACGCCUACUACAGUUGCCUUCCGCGUCCAGUAUACUGGCCUAUGUUUGUCAUCUCCACACUGGCCGCCGUUGUUGCUAGCCAGUCCAUGAUAUCUGCAAGCUUUUCUAUCGUGAAGCAGUCACUGACCCUCGGCUGUUUUCCUCCAGUCAAAAUGGUUCACACUUCUUCCAAGCAUGAAGGGCAAGUUUACUCCCCAGAAGUUAACUACGCCCUAAUGAUUCUCUGUGUUGGUCUUGUCAUUGGAUUUAAAGGCGGCGUUGCACUAGCAAAUGCUUACGGUAAGCUUCCCUUCCCUUCCCUUCCCUCAAUUACUGUCGAUGAUGACCGUACUUACAUAUAUAUAUAUAUAUAUAUAUAUAUAUGUAUAUAUAUAUAUACUAGGGUAAUUAAAAAAAAAAAUGAAGUUCUGUUGGCUUCUAUCUGUACACAUUGCAGGUGUGGUUGUCAUCUGGGUCAUGCUCAUAACAACUCUUUUGACCUCGUUAGUUAUGCUCGUCAUCUGGAACUCCAAUAUACUUCUAGUCCUAGGUUUUCUCGUACCAUACGUAUUAAUUGAGGGCAUCUUCAUGACGUCCAUGCUUAACAAAAUUCCACAAGGAGGAUGGGUGCCAUUUGCCAUCUCAGCUAUCCUCGGGACUGUGAUGCUGUCUUGGACGUAUGGAAGGAGUAAGAAGAGCAUGUAUGAAGGAGGAGGAAAGAUGAGCAUUGGUGAGUUAAACCAGAAGCUAUCAAGCACUUGUAUCUUUAGAACGCCAGGAAUUUGCUUCUUUUUUACGGACCUUGUCGAUGGUAUUCCACCAAUUAUCCGGCAUUAUAUUCAGCACACUAAUUCAGUUCGUGAGAUAAUGGUGGUAGUUACCAUUAGAACUCUUCCCAUCAAAACUGUCCUACCAGAGGAACGUUUCGUUGUGGGCAGGUUGGGAGUUGAAGGAGUUUAUAGGUGUUUGGUUCAGCUGGGAUACAAGGACUCGCUAAAUAUGGAAGGUGGUGAUUACGCUCGAGAAAUUGUGGCUAAGCUACGAGGAAAUGCGGACACUACAGCCGAACAACGAAAACUUCAUUCUGCCUCAGAAAAUGAAACUGUUUUUGUCAUGGGCAGGACAAUUCUUGCUGCAAAUGAGAACGAUGGAUGGCUUGCCCGUUUCACCAUAGAGUAUUUGUACAGAUUUCUUCAAAAGAACUGCAGGUCAUCAGUUUCGGCACUUCAUUUGCCACCGGAAAAGACAAUGCAGGUUGGAAUGCUAUAUAGACUGUAAAGCAAAUCUAGGAAGUCGCCUAGUUUCUUAGUAUAUGGAUGCUAGUACAAAAUGAAGCCCUUCAAGCUAAUAUGUACAUGAGCAGAAGAAUAUCCAAUCCUCGUUCCGGUACCUAUAUGUUCAGGUCAAUAAGGCUACAUGCAAAAUCGAUUUCACGCUUAACUCGAAAGUGAGAACAAGUUAGCCUACUUUCAAGGAAAGGAAUCUAGCACACCACUUUUCUUGCAGCCUCUAAAUUGAAUAUCGAUUACACUUGCAAACUAGAGAUUCUCAACUGCUAUGUGACCAUCUACUAACUUUUGCCAUCGUCUAAUUUCAAGCUUGCACCCCCACUGAUUGAAGUAGAUUGUAACACAAAAUUUUCAUAAAUACUAGUCCAGAGGCCCUGCGCAUAGCGUGACCCGUGUUAAUAGUGUGUUUGUGUGGUGACGUUUUAAAUUUUUUUUUUUUGUAAUGUGGUGAAUGAAUUGAUGCAGAAAAAUAUUUUGCAAUAUGUAAAAUAAUUGCGAGGUAGUUUGUUUUGAUUGAAUGAGGGUAAUUGGAAAGAAUUAUUGGUAGGUUAUUAUAUAGAAUGUGAUUUAAUGUUGAAGUAAAACGAUAGCGUGUAUAUAUUGUAUAGUUAUGAAAUUGGACAAUAUGGGAAUAGUAUUAAAUGUUGAAAGGCAUAACUUUAUAGUUAUUUCAUAUUGCAGCAACUUUUGCAAGUUCAUUAUCGAAUAUGUGCAUUCGAUACUCGUUCAUGCCUAAGUGGGUAAUUAUGAGAGCAUAGCAUAGUCAAAUAAUAUGGUAUCAUAGCAUUUUUUUUGCAUUCAUAGGUUAAAAAUUUAUCUUCAACUUUGAUGUCCCAACAUUUGUGUUGGUAAUAGAAGAUGAUUAUAUUGUUUUUGUUUGGCAAUAUAUUUGCUGUAUCUUCUGGAUGGAAUUUGUGCAGAAUAACAUAAAUGGCUAAAAUAAAUUUAUGUGCAAUUUUUUUGUAUGUCUUUGGGUUAAUACCUGUUUAAAAAAUUUGGCUUCCUAAAAUUUCCAUGUCCAUGGGCUUGAUGACUACAUAAAAUGCAAAAUUUAUGAGGAAACUUUAUCUUGCAGAAAAUGCUUGCAAUUGUUAAAUAAAUAAAUAAAUAGGAAGUUGUAUUGUUAAAUUCUGUGGAUAUAUUUUAUUAUUAAUUAUGUUACCAUGUUGCUUUUGCAUAUGUGCUUUCAAUAGGGAUGAUAUUCCAUUCAUAGAAGCUAGUGUAGUGAUUUGGGUUGAAAAUUUGAACUCUAAAUGUCAUCACUCCAAUGUGGAAAAAAUGAAUUAGUGAGUUUGGCUGCAGAUUGCGAUCAUCAAUGAAUUUUUUCCAUCUAGAGUUUUGGGGAUUUUCAUCUAGUUUUAGAAACCAUAUUUUGUUUCCAACUUUGAAAAUUGCUUUUCUUCUUAUGUGUGGUUCCAAGUAAUGUAUAAUUUUUGGUGGUAUGACCUGCAAUUAAGAUCUAAAUAUGUGUUAAAUGUGUUUCGGAGAAAAAUUGAUGUAAAUUAAGGAAAUUUUAUAAAAUGGAUACCAAUGUAUCAUCGUCUAGCUCAUUAUACUGCAUCAAGAAUGCAUUGAUUGGAAAAAUUGUAAUGGACAUGUUGGUGCGAUGAAAUCCAAACCCAACACGACAAAUAAAAUAAUAGUUAGUUAUAUAAAGUAAGAUUGGAUGUAUUAGCUUUUUAUUUGUUUUAAAUAGUAAUUGUACUUGAAUGAAGAUGAACUGGUAGAUAUAAUUGUAUAAAAAAGGCAAAAAGAUAAUAUUUUUACAAUAUAAUUAAAAUACUCAUGAUCAUAAUUGUGUAAUAAAAUAUAAAGUUAAAAGCUCAAGGCAUACCCAGAACAAAUGCUAAGAAGAGAUCUAAAUUUGGUAGACACAAUAUUUUCUUUGCUUUAGUUUAGCCAGCACAACUUCUUCGGAUUUUUUUUAUGGAUAUAUUUUUUUUAUUUUCUUUAUGAAUACAUAUAAAUGUCUAUAUAAGUCGAAACUCAUUGUUCCAUGUAGAAUUUACAUUGCAUGGUAUAUUUUGUAACCAUCAUUGGAAUUACUUUUACAGCAAUCAAUUAAAGUAAUUAUUUGUUUAUCCAUGCAAAGCAUUCACCCUUUUAUAUACUUUUAUAUAUGCACAUGUGGUUCAUAAACCAAACAUUCGAAGAACCAAUUACGAAAUUAAUUGAAAAAAAAUUAAAAUAUCGAGAAUAAGAAAGAGUUUUUUUUUUUGAAAAUGAAAAAAAUGAAUUCUAAGAAUAUAAAAGAAGCCAGUAAAUUAUAGAAAAUAUAAAAGAAAAAGUCAUGGGAAACAAAAAAAGAACAGAGUAAAAAGGGGAAUUUUCCAAUAAACAAGAGCAGAGGUUGUCAAAAGCACGGUACAAAAAACCAGCCCAUUCGUCUGGUCCACAUAUGAUAACAGUAAGUAAACAAAAAUGAGGGUCAAAAGCCAAUAAAAUUACAAAGGAACCAAGCAACUAAAGCAUACAUGCUGAACUAAGGAAACAAUGAAUGGCAUAACAGAAAAAUAAGAGAUAUCCAAGCCUAAAGUAAUACUCAUAAAUAUGUAUGUGGGCCAUGUCUAUGGAUGAGAAGAGGCAAGAAAGACACACGUAAAAAUUACAAAGAAACCACUUUACUAUACCGUCGAUCUUCCCAUGUGCUGAGUAAAAGAGGAAUAAGAAAUGGCAAAACCGAAAAAUGAAUGACCAUUAAGGCUAAUCCUAAUCACUCUAACAACCGGAAAUGCAAGAGACCGACGCAAAUGGAUCGAAAUACCCUCAACAUUUCAAGCAAUGCCGAAAUACACCCUCUCUCACUGUUCAUUCAAGCAACCCUCACUUUUAUAUAGUUAGAUAGAUAGAUAAAUAAAAUAAAAAAUUAAGUUGGCAUACCAUGUAAAAAGAAGGGCAAUUGCUUGGUUACUUUCGAACAUCAAGUUACAAGCAUCUAUAAGUAUAUACAAAUGAGGUUACGAAAAAGAAGAUUAUAGGUGUGCUUGGAUAGUAAAUUAUUUUUUGAAAAAAUUAUUAUAGCAAUUUUUGAUAUGAUAUAUACGAGAUUAGAAGGUGAUUAAAACGUGUUUAUAUUAUAUUUUACACGCUCCAUGAGGCGAUGAGCCAUCAAGUGAUACCAUUCUUGUUUUUAAAACCUUCUUGUGUUUCUUUUACAAUAAUCCGUCUCACCCCAUGCGACCUUCCAUGCAAGUGAUACCAUUCUCUAGGACAAAGUUGGAAAGAAAACAAAAUCUAUCCGAGCAAAUACGAAUGGACAACUGGAGGAUGAAGCCGAGAAAAAUUUCUUGCCAAUGACAUCGUAAGAACAUUCUUGACUAAGAAACCCUUGAGCAACAUAGGAAGCAUAAACUACGAAAGUUUCGUGUGAUGUUUUCCCACUAAUCUGGAAUUCUUUCAAAUUACUAAUAAGCUCACACCCUAAACUCAAAGCACAAAACGCACUAAGCAAUCACAUAUUAACACCAUCCGAGAUACUUGUAUCAGCAUUCACAAAUUAAUAUUACAUCCAUGUAAAAAAUUAACUUCACAAUGUCUCGUCUGGGAAUGAACUGCCAAGGUCAGCUCGGCAUGGUAAAAGAAUCAGUCACCUUUACACUGAACAAACUGGUAUAAUUGCAAAGCAGAUGCGCAGCAACCAAAUCAACUAAUUUGCACAUAUCUCGAUGGAAAACAAAACUGCCAUUCAUUUCCUCCCAAUUCUUGUUUUAACGCCACCUGAAAUUUGGAACCAAGAAAACAAGGUUCUAGGAUCACAUCAAUCUUAUAAAAAAAAAAAACUACAGCUACAAACUACUGAAGUAACUCUGAAUAUUUAACCAACCUUCCACUUCUUCAAACUGAACUACCUUCACCAGGUCCGCAGCCGCAUUGUACUCAAACCUGCCAGAUCAAACACCAGUUAUCCAAUGAUAUCAACAAAAAAGAGACUUUUACCAUGCUGUCAUUUAGCUCAAACAAAGUAAUGAUAAAUUAUAACCAAGAUAAAGAGAGGUUAAAUUAUUGUGCUAAUGAUUUAUAGUAUGUUAUGCAGCAUGCUUAAACGUUAAAAGAAACACUUUUGACAGAAUAAAUCAAGAAUCCCAGCUUACAAAUAAAAAAUAUAAAAUUUAAACAUAUGAAGAAAAUACUAGAUCUUGUACCCCUUACUCGAAGCAGUUAUUUCGACCACAUAUAAAACAGAGUAUAUACCAUCUCAGCAGUUCAAAAACAUUACGAGGAGUUGUCGAAAGUGGAAGUUAUUUCUCUAAGAGACAAGAAGCAGGAUUGCAGCUUUACAGCAUAUGAAGAUAUGAAAGUUAGUAAGGAUGUAUAAUUGUUCGCUAAAGGAGCUGAGUAAACCAUUGCUGCAACCUUAAAUGAAUAGUAGUUGUGUGAUCAACAACCACAAAGCAGAAAGAACAUGAGAAACUGCGGCCAGAACAUAGGCUGUCCAUUACCUGUUAGAGUGAAGCACAUCCAGUUCAUAGUCAGAUGCACUUUUGGUAGCUUCUACCAGGGCAUUUACAAUCUCUGCCUUUCGAGUACUAGCCAUAAGUAUAUCAUACUCUGUUGGGAUAAUUAUAGCAAAAAAGUUAUCACCCAGUUCACUCAAACUCAGCUUCUCAACAGCUGCUAGUGCAAUCCGCCUUUUAAGUGCAUCGCAGUCUGGGUCUACUACAUAUAUUGCAAAAUCAGUAAUCAAAAGUAUACGAUGCUUCAUCUUCCCAGAACCAGUAAAUUUCAAAACUUUAUCUGCAAAGAGAACUUUACUGUCACCUGUGACAUCAAAAGUCCGAGAAAACUUAGCGUUCAAGGAAGAACAUUUCAGCUAACUGGUUAACACAAAACUGAGUACAAAUAACUCCUGACGAGCAACAACAACUUUCAGCCUAACACACUACAAACCAGAGGUCCAAAGGAAACACUCAAAGAGCACAUCAAGCAGGACCAUCAUAUGUAGAGUACCAAAAUUGAAAAAAAAGAUAGCUCAACACAGCUGUUGGAAAAACUCUAGAACACCAUUUUCGAAGUAGGUUUGUUAUAGUACUUGACAAUUCUAACACAAAUAUCAAAAGAAGAAAGGCAAACAGUCACCACAAUCAGAAAAUCAUACAAAAGACCACGAACAUCUUGAAUCAGAGCAACAAAAUAGAAUGGAUUAAAAAGAAAAAAAAACGCACUUGCACACUUGAGCGCACGAAAAAAUAAAUGCGCAAAACUCAUACGCCUGGUAAGAGUCACAAAACGGAGUUCUUAAUUCCUCCUUUUCAAAAUUAUAUAUUUCGCUUAGAUCCAUCUUAAUAUUACACAAAUACACUCAACUAAAUGAUCAACGAUGACAUGUCGAUAUUUGCUACUAUAAAGAAAAAAGACAAGCAAAAAAACUGAGUACAUUAAAAAAAAAUCCAACUGAAUUUGAUUAGAGGGAGCAGAACCAGUCCCUGGUUAAUUGAAGAACAAAUAGAUACACAAUAACACCAUGAUUAACUAAUGAUAAUAACAUCAAGAUAUCCAAGGCUUCAAAUUUCAAGUUUUUCCGAUACAAUUUCCCUAAAGCACUAUAAAACGACAACCGUCAAAUUAGAAUCGCGUCGAGAUUAAAAGGCUGCAAAUUAUUACCUUGUUUGCUGAGAAUCUUCAUGAGAUAUGAUCGAGAACGCACGUUGACAUAAUCUUUACUGAAAAGGGUGUUAUUUUGGAUUCCUCCGUUUGAGUGGCCGUUGUCUCGGGUUUCAGGGGAUGCGGUGUCUUCGUUGUCGUCAUCGUAAAUUGGCUGGUCUUUUUCCAGCCGCCGAUUGGAUUGGAACCGUGACAUCCCGGGAAAGGUGGCAAGCCGGCGGCUUCGGACGGUGCGGGAUGCCGCGCCGGUGGUUGUGGCUGCUGGAUUUGUUUAGGCGUGGAAACGGGAGAGAUUAGACAUUUCGGAGCACGGGGCGGCCCCACUUCAGUUGGUGGGGUUCCAGCUGUUGUGAUUGGGAAAAUGUCUAAGUUUAAUUACAUAAUGACUCCUUGAAAUUUAAUGAUGAUACCUUUCGACCCCUAUUAUUUGGACAAGUUCACUUGGCGGAGUGUUUUUCUUAGAUUCAUUGAAAGUGCAUCCUUUGCAAAUGUUUCCCUCCAAACGUGAAGAAGGAAAACCCAACAAUUCACCCAAUUCACCCACUAAUUUGAGAUGUUGGAUUGGGUAAGUUGAAUAUUGAGUCAAUUUUGAGUUAGAUAAUAAAAACCCACAUAUAUUUUGGAUUGUUUGGAUAUUUGUGUUGGGUACCCAUUACCCAACUUAAGUUAAAAAAAAAAUAAACUAAUUACAAGAGAUGGGAUAGGGGAUACAUAAACAUUUCAUUGUUCAUGAAACAACAUGAGACAUGAGCCAAAGCAGGGCCUCCAUGUAUAGAUACUUAACAAAAUUAUAUGAGCGGCUUAGCUAUAAUACUUACUUGCAUGCGUUGACGUUUUAUUAUUUUCCUAUAUUUAGAGCAUUCCACUCCUUUUACUUUCAUAAUAUUUUUUGCCACUUCUUCUUUUGUCAUGUAAUCAAAUAUAAGCCCAUCUGGAUUGUUAUUUUUUGAAAAUUAUAUUAAAAAAAACAUACUGUAACAAUUUAAUAUAUAUAUAAUAACAAAAUAAUUAAAAAAUGCAUUCAAUAAAACAUUAUAAAAUUUUUGGGAUAAAAUAACAAUCCAAGAAAGUUUGCAAAUACCAUAUCAUAUGUGUGUCUUUCCCACUUCUUGUUAUACUAGUACACCAAUAUGCCCCACUUCUUAAGUGUGCAUUUGUAUUUGUAAGUGUUUUAGUGUGUGAAAAUAUGUCUAUUUAUGUGUUUAUGUGUGUGAAAAAGUUGUUUUUAUGUGAAAAUAUAUUUAAGAGAGUUUAUGUAUCAAAAUCUAUUAAUUAAUAUAUUUGAUCAUAUUUGGGUCAUAGGUUUGAGAUGACCCAAUAUGAUCCAACUCAAAAUUAACCCAAUCUAAAGUUGAACGGAUUGGUGUAACCCAUUUAAAUAAAAAUCCAAUCCAACCCUCCCAAUUGCCAGAUAUAGUCGGGAGCAUAGAUAUGCUAAAAAUCCAAUCCAACCCUCCCAAUUGCCAGGUAUAGUCGGGAGCAUUGAUAUGCCUUGACAUUUUGAAGGAGCAGUGAACCAUAGAUGUGGUUUUUGGCUGCUUAUAGAUGGUUGUAAAUUGAUGUUCGAAAGUAACCAAGUAAUUGCCUUCUUUUUUACAUGGUAUCUCAACUUAUGAUCUUCCUUUUCAUAUUCUAUGUUUUGCUUGGGAGAGCUAGGACAAAUUAACCUCAUUUGUACAAUAUUUGAGAGAGAGAGAGAGAGAGAGAGAGAGAGAGAGAGAGAGAGAGAGUGAUCCAGCAUCUUCAUGCAAAUAGCAGUUAAGAACAACGAAAUGCAAAGUAGUUGACCAACCUCAUUUUACAUGGCAGGUAUUCUUGGACGAGCAAAAGAAGAUACAAGGACGUACUACCAAACAAUGCGACUAAUUAAAGCUCACUAGUUGAGCAAUUAGACAUAAUGGGAGAAAAAUUAAUACCAGCAUAUUUACUCCUUUAAUUGAAGUAAGAAUGGUACACUAUUGUUGACCAGAAGUCGAAGCUAUAUCCGCAGCAAUCGGUGUAAG